GAGUUUGAUCAUGGCUCAGAAUGAACGCUGGCGGCAUGCCUAACACAUGCAAGUCGAACGAAGGCUUCGGCCUUAGUGGCGCACGGGUGCGUAACGCGUGGGAAUCUACCCUUGGGUUCGGAAUAACUCAGAGAAAUUUGAGCUAAUACCGGAUGAUGUCGCAAGACCAAAGAUUUAUCGCCCAAGGAUGAGCCCGCGUAGGAUUAGCUAGUUGGUGGGGUAAAGGCCCACCAAGGCGACGAUCCUUAGCUGGUCUGAGAGGAUGAUCAGCCACACUGGGACUGAGACACGGCCCAGACUCCUACGGGAGGCAGCAGUGGGGAAUAUUGGACAAUGGGCGAAAGCCUGAUCCAGCAAUGCCGCGUGAGUGAUGAAGGCCUUAGGGUGUAAAGCUCUUUUACCCGGGAUGAUAAUGACAGUACCGGGAGAAUAAGCUCCGGCUAACUCCGUGCCAGCCGCCGCCGUAAG
rnacentral:rRNA from 1 species